rnacentral:tRNA from 3 species
GCAGUUGUUGUCUAGUUGGUUAGGAUACAAGAUUGCCAAUCUUGUGACCCGGGUUCAAAUCCCGGCAACUGCA